UGCCACCGUCCAAGCUUGCUCGGCCCUGGCCAGAUGAACCUCAGGAUUAAAGGGUGGGUCCAGUUCUGCGCAUACUGUGUCUCACCUAAAAAUCCACUGCGCAGGCUCGAAGGGGAAUCACCCUUCCCAAGUCUUCGUUCGCGAAGCCUAGCCAU